rnacentral:rRNA from 1 species
UGGGGAAUUUUGGACAAUGGGCGCGAGCCUGAUCCAGCCAUGCCGCGUGCAGGAUGAAGGCCUUCGGGUUGUAAACUGCUUUUGUACGGAACGAAAAGGUUUGGCCUAAUAAGCUGAGCUCAUGACGGUACCGUAAGAAUAAGCACCGGCUAACUACGUGCCAGCAGCCGCGGUAAUACGUAGGGUGCGAGCGUUAAUCGGAAUUACUGGGCGUAAAGCGUGCGCAGGCGGUUAUGUAAGACAGUUGUGAAAUCCCCGGGCUCAACCUGGGAACUGCAUUUGUGACUGCAUAGCUAGAGUACGGUAGAGGGGGAUGGAAUUCCGCGUGUAGCAGUGAAAUGCGUAGAUAUGCGGAGGAACACCGAUGGCGAAGGCAAUCCCCUGGGCCUGUACUGACGCUCAUGCACGAAAGCGUGGGGAGCAAACA